AUUGAACGCUGGCGGCAGGCUUAACACAUGCAAGUCGAACGAUGACUAACUAGCUUGCUAGUUAUGAUUAGUGGCGGACGGGUGAGUAACAUUUAGGAAUCUGCCUAGUAGUGGGGGAUAGCUCGGGGAAACUCGAAUUAAUACCGCAUACGACCUACGGGUGAAAGGGGGCGCAAGCUCUUGCUAUUAGAUGAGCCUAAAUCAGAUUAGCUAGUUGGUGGGGUAAAGGCCCACCAAGGCGACGAUCUGUAACUGGUCUGAGAGGAUGAUCAGUCACACCGGAACUGAGACACGGUCCGGACUCCUACGGGAGGCAGCAGUGGGGAAUAUUGGACAAUGGGGGAAACCCUGAUCCAGCCAUGCCGCGUGUGUGAAGAAGGCCUUUUGGUUGUAAAGCACUUUAAGCAGGGAGGAGAGGCUAAUGGUUAAUACCCAUUAGAUUAGACGUUACCUGCAGAAUAAGCACCGGCUAACUCUGUGCCAGCAGCCGCGGUAAUACAGAGGGUGCGAGCGUUAAUCGGAAUUACUGGGCGUAAAGCGAGUGUAGGUGGCUCAUUAAGUCACAUGUGAAAUCCCCGGGCUUAACCUGGGAACUGCAUGUGAUACUGGUGGUGCUAGAAUAUGUGAGAGGGAAGUAGAAUUCCAGGUGUAGCGGUGAAAUGCGUAGAGAUCUGGAGGAAUACCGAUGGCGAAGGCAGCUUCCUGGCAUAAUAUUGACACUGAGAUUCGAAAGCGUGGGUAGCAAACAGGAUUAGAUACCCUGGUAGUCCACGCCGUAAACGAUGUCUACUAGCCGUUGGGGUCCUUGAGACUUUAGUGGCGCAGUUAACGCGAUAAGUAGACCGCCUGGGGAGUACGGCCGCAAGGUUAAAACUCAAAUGAAUUGACGGGGGCCCGCACAAGCGGUGGAGCAUGUGGUUUAAUUCGAUGCAACGCGAAGGACCUUACCUGGUCUUGACAUAGUGAGAAUCCUGCAGAGAUGCGGGAGUGCCUUCGGGAAUUCACAUACAGGUGCUGCAUGGCUGUCGUCAGCUCGUGUCGUGAGAUGUUGGGUUAAGUCCCGCAACGAGCGCAACCCUUUUCCUUAUUUGCCAGCGGGUUAAGCCGGGAACUUUAAGGAUACUGCCAGUGACAAACUGGAGGAAGGCGGGGACGACGUCAAGUCAUCAUGGCCCUUACGACCAGGGCUACACACGUGCUACAAUGGUAGGUACAGAGGGUUGCUACACAGCGAUGUGAUGCUAAUCUCAAAAAGCCUAUCGUAGUCCGGAUUGGAGUCUGCAACUCGACUCCAUGAAGUCGGAAUCGCUAGUAAUCGCAGAUCAGAAUGCUGCGGUGAAUACGUUCCCGGGCCU
rnacentral:rRNA from 1 species